CUUUACUUGCCAUGUAUCAUUUUGAAGAUCCUUUUCUAGGAUCAAAUGAUUGUGUUGUUUUGCUAAGAAGUAACAUAUCCAAAUGUCAUUUCUACUUAAAGAUCCCAACUAGAUUUUUCUGAAAAUUUCACAAACACUUUCAAGAUGAAAUAUAACCACAGAAAAGGAUCCACGUUCUCACUUGAACUUCAACAUCCAGAGAAGAUGUAAAUCUCCCUCAGCUUCCUUCUAUACUCCAUAUCCUUAGCUGCUUUUCUCUGCACUCAUAAUCUCUAGAGGGAGACUUUUGGAAGACCCCGAGGGAUAACAAAGCUCUGCUGUCAGAAUUAAAUUGUUAUGGUGUAAUUAAAUCUUCUUAGACAUAGUUAA